UACGUAGGGGGCAAGCGUUGUCCGGAUUCAUUGGGCGUAAGAGCGUGUAGGCGGCCAGGUAGGUCGGUUGUGAAACUGGAGGCUCAACCUUCAGACGUCGACCGAACCAUCUGCUAGAGUCCGGAGAGGAGAGUGGAAUUCCUGGUGUAGCGGUGAAUGCGCGAGAUAUCAGGAGAACACCCGUGCGAGCGCUCACUGCCCGAUACUGACGCUGAGCACGAAAGCGUGGGGGGGAGCAAACAGG
rnacentral:rRNA from 1 species